GAUGAACGCUGGCGGCGUGCCUAAUACAUGCAAGUCGAGCGAACAGGUGCAGCGCUUGCUCCUGUGACGUUGCCAACGGGCGGGUGAGUAGCACGUAACUAACCUACCUCUAAGACUUGGGUAACUGAAGGAAACCGUAACUCCGAACGGGUAAUAUAUUCACCCGGAUGGUGUAGUAGUGAAAGACGGUUUUUCUAUGAAUUAUAGAUGUAUCCGCUCCGCAUUAGCUAGUUGGUAAGGUAACGGGUUACCAAGGCAACGAUGCGUAGCCGAGCGGAGCGAGGGAUAGCCGACACUGGAACGUGGCCGCGGUCCAGGCGCCUACGGGAGGGAGCAGUAGGGAAUCUGCGGCAAUGGGCGAAAGCCUGACGGAGCAACGCCGCGUGAGUGAUGAAGGUCUUGGGAUCGUAAAACCCUGUUAUUAGUGAUGAACAAAUGUGUAAGUAACUAUACACGUCGUGACGGUACCUAAUCAGAAAGCCACGGCUAACUACGUG
rnacentral:rRNA from 1 species